rnacentral:rRNA from 1 species
UCCGUAGGUGAACCUGCGGAGGGAUCAUUACCGAGUUUACAACUCCCAAACCCAAUGUGCAACGUUACCAAACUGUUGCCUCGGCGGGAUCUCUGCCCCGGGUGCGUCGCAGCCCCGGACCAAGGCGCCCGCCGGAGGACCAACCAAAACUCUUUUUGUAUACCCCCUCGCGGGUUUUUUAUAAUCUGAGCCUUCUCGGCGCCUCUCGUAGGCGUUUCGAAAAUGAAUCAAAACUUUCAACAACGGAUCUCUUGGUUCUGGCAUCGAUGAAGAACGCAGCGAAAUGCGAUAAGUAAUGUGAAUUGCAGAAUUCAGUGAAUCAUCGAAUCUUUGAACGCACAUUGCGCCCGCCAGUAUUCUGGCGGGCAUGCCUGUCCGAGCGUCAUUUCAACCCUCGAACCCCUCCGGGGGGUCGGCGUUGGGGAUCGGCCCUGCCUUGGCGGUGGCCGUCUCCGAAAUACAGUGGCGGUCUCGCCGCAGCCUCUCCUGCGCAGUAGUUUGCACACUCGCAUCGGGAGGGCGGCGCGUCCACAGCCGUUAAACACCCAACUUGUGAAAUGUUGACCUCGGAUCAGGUAGGAAUACCCGCUGAACUUAAGCAUAUCAAUAAGCGGAGGAA